rnacentral:rRNA from 1 species
GUCCACGCCCUAAACGAUGGAUACUAGUUGUCGGGUUCCCUAAUAGACUCGGUAACGCAGCUAACGCAUUAAGUAUCCCGCCUGGGGAUUACGGUCGCAAGAUUAAAACUCAAAGGAAUUGACGGGGCCCGCACAAGCGGUGGAGCAUGUGGUUUAAUUCGAUGCUACGCGAAAACCUUACCUGGACUUGACAUGCCACGCUACCCUAGGAAACUAGGGGUUCCCUUACGGGACGUGGACACAGGUGCUGCAUGGCUGUCGU